GACGAACGCUGGCGGCGUGCCUAAUACAUGCAAGUCGAGCGGACCUCUUCGGAGGUCGGCGGCGGACGGGUGAGUAACACGUGGGCAACCUGCCUGUAAGACUGGGAUAACACCGGGAAACCGGUGCUAAUACCGGAUAAUCCUUUUCCUCACAUGAGGGGAAGCUGAAAGACGGUUUCGGCUGUCACUUACAGAUGGGCCCGCGGCGCAUUAGCUAGUUGGUGGGGUAACGGCCCACCAAGGCGACGAUGCGUAGCCGACCUGAGAGGGUGAUCGGCCACACUGGGACUGAGACACGGCCCAGACUCCUACGGGAGGCAGCAGUAGGGAAUCUUCCGCAAUGGACGAAAGUCUGACGGAGCAACGCCGCGUGAGCGAAGAAGGCCUUCGGGUCGUAAAGCUCUGUUGUCAGGGAAGAACACGUACCGGAGUAACUGCCGGUACCUUGACGGUACCUGACCAGAAAGCCACGGCUAACUACGUGCCAGCAGCCGCGGUAACAC
rnacentral:rRNA from 1 species